AUGCAAGUCGAGGGGUAACGAGAGGUAAGCUUGCUUUCCUUGUCGACGACCGGCGCACGGGUGAGUAACGCGUAUCCAACCUUCCCGGUACUAGGGAAUAGCCCGUCGAAAGACGGAUUAAUGCCCUAUGUUGUUCUAUGCAGACAUCCAAAUAGAACUAAAGAUUCAUCGGUAUCGGAUGGGGAUGCGUCUGAUUAGGCAGUUGGCGGGUUAACAGCCCACCAAACCGACGAUCAGUAGGGGUUCUGAGAGGAAGGUCCCCCACAUUGGAACUGAGACACGGUCCAAACUCCUACGGGAGGCAGCAGUGAGGAAUAUUGGUCAAUGGGCGGAAGCCUGAACCAGCCAAGUAGCGUGCAGGACGACGGCCCUAUGGGUUGUAAACUGCUUUUAUACGGGGAUAAAGUGCGCCACGUGUGGAGCAUUGCAGGUACCGUAUGAAUAAGGACCGGCUAAUUCCGUGCCAGCAGCCGCGGUAAUACGGAAGGUCCGGGCGUUAUCCGGAUUUAUUGGGUUUAAAGGGAGCGCAGGCCGGAAGCAAAGCGUGCCGUGAAAUGUAGAUCUCAACAUCUGAAUUGCGGCGCGAACUGGUUUUCUUGAGUGCAUACGAGGUAGGCGGAAUUUGUGGUGUAGCGGUGAAAUGCUUAGAUAUCACGAAGAACUCCGAUUGCGAAGGCAGCCUACCAGGAUGUAACUGACGCUAAAGCUCGAAAGUGCGGGUAUCGAACAGGAUUAGAUACCCUGGUAGUCCGCACGGUAAACGAUGGAUGCCCGCUGUUGGCGAUAUACAGUCAGCGGCCAAGCGAAAGCGUUAAGCAUCCCACCUGGGGAGUACGCCGGCAACGGUGAAACUCAAAGGAAUUGACGGGGGCCCGCACAAGCGGAGGAACAUGUGGUUUAAUUCGAUGAUACGCGAGGAACCUUACCCGGGCUUGAAUUGCAGACGCACGCGGCAGAGAUGCCAAGGCCCUUCGGGGCGUCUGUGAAGGUGCUGCAUGGUUGUCGUCAGCUCGUGCCGUGAGGUGUCGGCUUAAGUGCCAUAACGAGCGCAACCCCUGUUCUUAGUUGCCAUCACUUCGGGUGGGCACUCUGAGGAUACUGCCACCGUAAGGUGUGAGGAAGGUGGGGAUGACGUCAAAUCAGCACGGCCCUUACGUCCGGGGCUACACACGUGUUACAAUGGAGCAUACAGAGAGUUGGAUGCGCGCAAGCACGUCCUAAUCAAUAAAGUGCUUCUCAGUUCGGACUGGGGUCUGCAACCCGACCCCACGAAGCUGGAUUCGCUAGUAAUCGCGCAUCAGCCAUGGCGCGGUGAAUACGUUCCCGGGCCUUGUACACACCGCCCGUCAAGCCAUGAAAGCCGGGGGCGCCUGAAGUCCGUGACCGCAAGG
rnacentral:rRNA from 1 species